rnacentral:rRNA from 1 species
GACGAACGCUGGCGGCGUGCCUAAUACAUGCAAGUCGAACGCAGUGGGGACGGGUGAGUAACACGUGGGUAACCUCCCAUCAGAGGGGAUAACACUUGGAAACAGGUGCUAAACCGAUACUGAUGGAUGGACCCGCGGUGCAUUAGCUAGUUGGUGAGGUAACGGCUCACCAAGGCCACGAUGCAUAGCCGACCGGGGAGGGUGAUCGGCAACACGGGGACUGUGCCCCGGCCCAGACUCCUACGGGAGGCAGCAGGAGGAAAUCUUCGGCAAUGGAGGAAAGUCGGACCGGGAAACGCCGCGGGAGGGAAGAAGGUUUUCGGAUCGUAAAACUCUGUUGUUAGAGAAGCGGUAUCUAACCAGAAAGCCACGGCUAACUACGUGCCAGCAGCCGCGGUAAUAC